rnacentral:rRNA from 1 species
GAUGAACGCUGGCGGCGUGCCUAAUACAUGCAAGUCGAGCGAAGCGGGGACGGGUGAGUAACACGUGGAAAACCUCGUAUAAGACUGGGAUAACUUCGGGAAACCGGAGCUAAACCGGAUCCUUAUAGAUGGCUCUGCGCUGCAUGAGCUAGUUGGUAAGGUAACGGCUUACCAAGGCAACGAUGCAUAGCCGACCUAAGAGGGUGAUCGGCCACACUGGAACUGAGACACGGUCCAGACUCCUACGGGAGGCAGCAGUAGGGAAUCUUCCGCAAUGGGCGAAAGCCUGACGGAGCAACACCGCGUGAGUGAUGAAGGUUUUCGGAUCGUAAAACUCUGUUAUUAGGGAAGCGGUACCUAAUCAGAAAGCCACGGCUAACUACGUGCCAGCAGCCGCGGUAAUAC